AAUAAGAUGGCUGAGGUUAGGCGUUAGAUUGUAAAUCUAAACACAAGUUAUUAACUUUCUUAUUA
rnacentral:tRNA from 1 species